GGAUUUCUGAUAAUGAGAUAUUCAGAUUUUAGGUCUUCAUGGAUGUGAUGUCUUAGAAAGAUAAUUGGUUUGACAUUUUGUUAAACAAUGGGGAUUAUUUUCUAAAUCAAUAGUGUCCUAGGCUGUUAGCACUAAGGUGUAAUAUCACAUCAAGGAACCAAGAUAGAUAAUUAUUCCCAGAAACAUCCAAGGCAACAAAUUCUAAUUUUACAAGGUUCGUCAUUCUGAAUGUAAAAUAAAUAUUUAAAACAUGACCUAUCAAUAUUUCAAGUUAAUACAAAAACAAUUUAAUAUCUAUACAGUAUGAUAUAACUAAAAAGUUUUAACGGCAUUGUCGCCAUUAACAAAUCAAGCAAUAGUAAAGUCAUAAGCUAUAACGAUAGUAAUAAUCGUAAAAUGAGUAGAGAUAGAUCGUACCUUAUUUCUGUGAAAGUCGCAGUAUUUAGAGUUGGUUAGAUUGUACCUGUUUAUGAUGUACCUGUUUGACUUAUCUCAGUUUGGCAGAGUCCUUCUUUGGCAUAUCUCAGUUCGGCAGAGUCUCGUGCUGAUAACGUGUUGUAAAUCUUGUAAUAUAUACUAUUAAACUAUACAAAAAUAAGAAAAGGAAACUAUUCUGGAAAGUAUAAAGAGAAUAGGAGAUGGAGAGAGAAAGUAGUUGUAUUUCAGAAUAUUUCAGAAUUGAAUUCAUUUCAACUGAACCAGCUAUUUAUAGAGGUUGGUUGAUGAAUCUUCCUAACUAAGAUUUGCAAUACUUCUAGGUUAAGUAUUACGAUUCUUCUCGAGUAAGUAUCGUAAGUCUUCCUCGAUAAGAACUCCGCUCUCUAUAUCGUUGUGCCAAAAUCAUAGUAUUUGGGUGAAAAGUCGAUAGGGUCUUUUCAAUUAUUUCAGCAUCAAUAAUAUUUCCACCGUACAAAAUUAAUAUUUGAGCUUAUCUUGAAAAGAUCAGAAUUAUGUUCAACUACAGAUUUGAAAUCUUGUAACCUCAAAUCAACCAGUCAGAACGGGCAGAUGGUAAGUGAACAGGUUUCUGGUGAUCAAAUAUAUCCUUGAGAUUAUUCCAAAGGGUAAGGGGAUUUCUGAUAAUGAGAUAUUCAGAUUUUAGGUCUUCAUGGAUGUGAUGUCUUAGAAAGAUAAUUGGUUUGACAUUUUGUUAAACAAUGGGGAUUAUUUUCUAAAUCAAUAGUGUCCUAGGCUGUUAGCACUAAGGUGUAAUAUCACAUCAAGGAACCAAGAUAGAUAAUUAUUCCCAGAAACAUCCAAGGCAACAAAUUCUAAUUUUACAAGGUUCGUCAUUCUGAAUGUAAAAUAAAUAUUUAAAACAUGACCUAUCAAUAUUUCAAGUUAAUACAAAAACAAUUUAAUAUCUAUACAGUAUGAUAUAACUAAAAAGUUUUAACGGCAUUGUCGCCAUUAACAAAUCAAGCAAUAGUAAAGUCAUAAGCUAUAACGAUAGUAAUAAUCGUAAAAUGAGUAGAGAUAGAUCGUACCUUAUUUCUGUGAAAGUCGCAGUAUUUAGAGUUGGUUAGAUUGUACCUGUUUAUGAUGUACCUGUUUGACUUAUCUCAGUUUGGCAGAGUCCUUCUUUGGCAUAUCUCAGUUCGGCAGAGUCUCGUGCUGAUAACGUGUUGUAAAUCUUGUAACAUAUACUAUUAAACUAUACAACGAUAGAAAAGAAACUAUCCUGGAAAGUAUAAAGAGAAUAGAAGAUGGAGAGAGAAAGUAAUUGUAUUUCGGAAUAUUUCAGAAUAGAAUUCAUUUCAACUGAACCAGCUAUUUAUAGAGGUUGGUUAAUGAAUCUUCC
rnacentral:lncRNA from 1 species